GCAGCCCGGGCCGGGAGGCGCUCUGGGGGGCUGCCCUCCGGCAGGACGGCUGCUGCACGCCUGCGGAGUAGCGCGGCUGUAAAGAGCUUGGGAGCUGGAGGGGGCGUGGGAGAAAUGCAGCGGAGAGGGGCAGGGGGCCCGAGGUGAGAAGAGCACCCUGUGCAGCCCCUGCCCGAUGCGGUGCCCGGCUCGACAAAUCCGCCGGCACUGCGCACCUCUCCCUUCAGCCCCGCCGUGCGUGUACCUGGGGCAGUGGUCCUGAGCAAAAACCCUGAGCCCCUGGUCACUGCAAGCGUCUUCCUCCCCUCGGCGGGCUCGCGACCGCCCUUAGCGGGGCCGUCCCGGCGCCGGCAGCACGGGCGGGCAGAGUCCCGGGAGUCGGGGCCGCCGGCGGCAGGGGGAUGCGCACCGCACCGCACCGUGACACUGCCUAAAGGCACCAACGGUCAGGGCCUUUCAAGGGCCAUACCCGCCGGCUAGGGGCUCCCUUUUCCCUUUGAUUGCAUCCCAACUCCGUUUUUUCCCACCCUGGGAAAACUUGCCUCGUUUAAGGCCCUACGCUGUACUCCGCACAGGACUGUCUCCGGAAAAGCUGCUAGGAACAGCAAGCUGUCAUGCACGCACACGUAGGUGCAUACGUAUGGGAGAAGGAAACCUGAAGCGGUUGCAGCUGGAGGCUGUUUUCUGUUUGAGGCUGAAACCUGCACCUGCGUUGCAGUUGGCCACCUCCAGUUCGUAUUUCCACUUGGGAGAGUGACCAUUCAUCCAUCUAGGAAAUGAUGUGACACUACUUCUCGCCGCUUAUGAUCAGGUCGGUCUGCACCUACCAAAAGCAUUUGCAUUGCUGAAGCAUCUGAUUACCCUAAUAAAGAAAAGACAGAAAUGAA